GACGAACCGUCCGAACGUUAUUCGGAAUCACUGGGCUUAAAGGGUGCGUAGGCGGCGCGGAAAGUUGGGUGUGAAAUCCCCCCGGCUCAACCGGGGAACUGCUGGGUAUACUGGCGAUCUUGAGCCACCUAGGGGCAGUCGGAACAAGUGGUGGAGCGGUGAAAUGCGUAGAUAUCACUUGGAACGCCAAUGGUGAAAACAGACUGCUGGGGGUGUGCUGACGCUGAGACACGAAAGCCAGGGGAGCGAACGGG
rnacentral:rRNA from 1 species